rnacentral:rRNA from 1 species
UACGUAGGGUGCGAGCGUUGUCCGGAAUUAUUGGGCGUAAAGGGCUCGUAGGCGGUCUGUCGCGUCGGGCGUGAAAACUCAGGGCUUAACCCUGAGCCUGCUUCCGAUACGGGCAGACUAGAGGUAUGCAGGGGAGAACGGAAUUCCUGGUGUAGCGGUGAAAUGCGCAGAUAUCAGGAGGAACACCAGUGGCGAAGGCGGUUCUCUGGGCAUUACCUGACGCUGAGGAGCGAAAGCAUGGGGAGCGAACAGG